rnacentral:rRNA from 1 species
AACGAACGCUGGCGGCAGGCUUAACACAUGCAAGUCGAGCGCCCCGCAAGGGGAGCGGCAGACGGGUGAGUAACGCGUGGGAAUCUACCCAUCUCUACGGAAUAACGCAUGGAAACGUGUGCUAAUACCGUAUACGUCCUUCGGGAGAAAGAUUUAUCGGAGAUGGAUGAGCCCGCUUUGGAUUAGCUGGUUGGUGGGGUAAAGGCCGACCAAGGCGACGAUCCAUAGCUGGUCUGAGAGGAUGAUCAGCCACACUGGGACUGAGACACGGCCCAGACUCCUACGGGAGGCAGCAGUGGGGAAUAUUGGACAAUGGGCGCAAGCCUGAUCCAGCCAUGCCGCGUGAGUGAUGAAGGCCCUAGGGUUGUAAAGCUCUUUCACCGGUGAAGAUAAUGACGGUAACCGGAGAAGAAGCCCCGGCUAACUUCGUGCCAGCCGCCGCCGUAAGAC